rnacentral:rRNA from 1 species
GACGAACGCUGGCGGCGUGCCUAAUACAUGCAAGUCGAGCGAUGAAGGAGAUACUUGUAUCUUUUGAAGAGCGGCGAACGGGUGAGUAACGCGUGGGGAAUCUGCCGAUGAGUGGGGGACAACAUUUGGAAACGAAUGCUAAUACCGCAUAAAAUCUAUUGAGACAUCUCAAGAGAUUGAAAGGAACAAUUGUUUCGCUCGUUGAUGAUCCCGCGUUGUAUUAGCUAGUUGGUGAGGUAAGGGCUCACCAAGGCGAUGAUACAUAGCCGACCUGAGAGGGUGAUCGGCCACAUUGGGACUGAGACACGGCCCAAACUCCUACGGGAGGCAGCAGUAGGGAAUCUUCGGCAAUGGACGAAAGUCUGACCGAGCAACGCCGCGUGAGUGAAGAAGGUUUUCGGAUCGUAAAGCUCUGUUGUUGUUAAAGAACGUUGAUGAGAGUGGAAAGUUCAUCAAGUGACGGUAAACAACCAGAAAGGGACGGCUAACUACGUGCCAGCCGCCGCCGUAACAC